ACUGAGGUCUAUCCCGAUGGGAUCUCUUCCAUAGGUUCGUGUCGUUGGAAACGCCUCACAGAAUAAACUUGUGGUUCCGCUUUGCCCAUUGAGCUGCUCGUUGGCUCUGUGGGAUAAGAACUGCAAGACAAGY
ensembl:snoRNA